AACCCUGCAGAGCAAAAUCACGGGUCGAGCUUUCGGCAAAGUUGAUCACUCGAAGAGAUUCCGAGAUAUCACAACACACACUCACGAAAUUGACUGUCGAGCAAAACCAAAUGCAGGAAACAAAGCAGAAAUAGAGUAAUAUGCGAAGAGAGUUGAGUCCCGGCUUGAAGAUCCUCUGGGUCUGGACACUUGGAACCGCCGCCGUACUUGUUACCAGUGUGGUGAGGACAAGGAUGAGGGACAUGGAAACUCUUACCAACACCGAGCAUCAGCCGCAGCCGCAGCAACACGACACGGAGACACUGAUGGCGGACAGUUCGACUCAGUCCAGUGAACUGAUUCGAGAAGAGAAGCCGUAGGUUUGUUCGACACCAAUACAAGUACCCCAGUUUUGUAUGUUUUGUUUUUGUUAAUUUCCUCAACUUGGAUUGGAGGUUCACGUUUUGAGUUUGGAGAAAUGGGUACGCAAUGUGUUUGAUGAAUGUCCUCACUGGUAACUUUUUGACCCAAUUUUUGAAGAUUUGACUGCAGUAGUAAAUUACUACUAGUAAUUUAUAUUGGUACGAAUAAUUUGAAUUUGUUGAUACAGAAGAAAUGGAGGUUGAUUUCACUGUU